GGUUGCUGCAGCUCCCGGAGCUAAGGAGCCGAAGUGAGCGGAGCCUGUGGGGCCGCCGCCGCCGCCUUCUCUCCGGGGACCCGGCCCUUCGCUCCCCCCCAGGCCCGCUCGGUUUCGCUACGACUUGAACCUGCAAUCCGAUCCAUAGGGGUGGACCCACGCAGAGCCUCACUGACUUCUAUGGGCGUCUGUACUGGUAUGAGGAAUUUGCCCACAAGGAGCAAAUUGCAGGAUUAAGGCCAUACUCAGUUCCAGCGAGAUCAGUCUCCAUGCCUGUACAUACUUUGGCCUCUCUGCUGAGACUAACAAAAGAUAAGGUGUUAUGUCCUGCCCAACAAGAAAGGCACAUGGACACCAGACUGACUACUGUGCAACAUUAAACAUUGCCACCGCUCCCACCACUACCACCAAAUAUGAUGAUUCAUGCAAGGGGAUUCCUCCCAUCAGCGGAGUUUGCAGCUCAGACUACAUGGGGGGAAGGGAAUGAAAACCCCUAACAAGAAGGAACUGUAAUUGCUUGGACUCUGGGGGGAAAGGUUUUCUAGGCAUAAGCAAGAGAACCCCAGAGCUUAGCCUGGGACAUAUAGAGCUUGCUUAUUAUAGAUGUUACUAUUGCUUUUUGAAACUUAAGAUUGUAACUUAUUUGUGUAUGUAUGUUUAUCUGCUUUAACCUUGUAAAUAACUCAUUUCCUUUUUAAUACAUCUCUACACAGUUUAUUAGAGGACUGGCUGCAGCAUUAUCUUUGGUGUGCGAUCUCAGGUUCAUUUGAUCUGGGGUAAAUCACUGGUCCUUAGGGACUGUGAGUAACUUGAAUAUUGCUGUGAUUCUUGAUGUAAGGGACCAUCUACCAUAAAUGUAGGCUUACCUGAGUGGCAAGACACAAUUUGGAGUACACAAAGAGACUGUCUGUGAUUCCACAUUAAGGCUGUUAUAGUGCCCAAGGAGUUUACACUUGCUACUUGGUUGGUAAAAUCUAGCCACAGAAUUCACAACUAAUUUGGGGAUUGUGCCCUGCUUCUCAGGUUGGUACUCCAGCUACUGAGACACUGAAGGACAGCUUGACCGGGCCUACAUAGUAAAAAUGUGUAUACAGUGGUUAUGCUCUUCUGAAAAUAGAGAAAUAUCUUGACUAUUACAGUC